AUGGGAAACAAACAUUGCGAGAAAGCACUCCAGCUACAAAUGUGGACAUUUAUCUUGAAAGUCCUCACAGGAACUCACGUGUGUUGCUUCCGCCCACUUGACGCUGGUGUAAAAAAAAAAGAAAAGAAAAGAAAGAAAUCACACAGGCGAGUGGGAGGAAGACAAGUUGGAAACACCGCGGAGCGAAACUCCCUCUCGUUGCAGACGGAACUGGCCCGGCGGUGUGCGGCUCUGGACGCGGGCGGACUGCGGCUUCUCGGCCCGGCUUGGAAUGACCCACGGCGGCCUAAACUCCCCGCAGCCCCGCGCCCCGUAGGCCACCUGGAACUUUCCACUUUUGCAUCAAAACUUUCGGCGGCUCUGAACUCGCUCCGUGGGUUCUGGUCCCCGGCUGGCCUGCAGAGCCGAGGCACCCGUCCCCACAUGUCCCAGCCUUCUUCCCCAAAGUUCACCACGACCACCAGCCGAAGGAGAACGCAGGAACCGGGGAUUCGCCGAGCACCGGGGACGGUCAUGUAUCUACCGAGAGAGACCCGGCGAAGGGACGGCGGCGGCAGCCCCGCGGCGGCUAACCGGAGGAAAGCGCCGGUGGAAACGAUGUGCCUCCUGGGAAUCAUCUGCCUCCAAGGUCAGUGACGAGCUGCUGUACGGCUCAAACGCGCAGUGCGCGUGCACGUCCCAUUGCUUUCUAGUUAUUCGGAGGCUGGGGGGGGGGGGGGGGGUCCUGCAGACCACGACAUUGACCUCCAUGCUUUUCUUAAAGGGCUUUCUGUGGCUGGUUCAACUUAGUCCAGGUUGCACCAGGAGACACACACACACACGCGCGCGCGCACACACAACACACACACACACGCACGGGCGUCAGAGAGCCGUAUCUGCACGCUGCCCUCCUCCCUCACUGCUUCAGAAAACACGCUUUCUGAUGACUUCAACUUGAGAUGACUUUAAACUACCGUUACAUUACAUGAGUUGGGAGGUGGGUCUAUGGAGGAAGGAGGCACCCCUCCCCCAUUGACCCGGGGUGGGGGGGAUAGAUAACUGAUUUAUUUAUUUCAAAGGCUUUAACUAGAAACAAACUCCCCAGCACAAACAACAAGCAUAAUAAUCAUCUUUCCAUCCUCACCCAACGCAUUGGACUCUGUUUUUGAUUCAUCAUAACUGUGUUUGACCCCCCCCACCCCCCCUUCCCUUUUCCCGGCCCCCCGUCCCUCAUGGGUCCCAUUCACAUGCGGGGGGGGGGGGGGCAGUGUUAAGUGUCUACCUGAGUGGUCCUCCAACAAAGGGGAGCCAGAAAAAGGAAAAAUUAACAUUGAUGCAGCCCCCCGCCCCUUAAACACACACAGCCUUUUAAAAAGUUCAUAACCUCGGCCUGCAGAGUGAGAAGAAAGCCACGUACGGAUCCUUCCCAGCUCGGGCCAGGAAUGCUCUUAUCCUGCCAAGGAUCCGGCUCAUUAACUCGCCGCUCAUCAUGUCAAAACAGAGUCACUUUUAUCUGAUCCCCGCAUGUGGACUGAAGCGCGGACGAGCACUGAUUGUGUUUUUGCCCGUGCCCGUCAACACAAGGCCGCGAUUGCCAGAUCGGCUGAAAAAUUCCUUUAAGUUGAAGUGUCC
ensembl:lncRNA